CAUGGCGGAACAUGGCGUGGUAGAAAUUGUGAGAACUGCAGGGAAAUAACAGCUUGCUUUGGUACAAGGUCCGGAACUGAAGGGCCCUUCAGCUUCUCAGAAACUUUCCAUCGCUUAGUAAUAUUUAGAUAUAAGAUGGAAGGAAGAGAGUUCGCAUAACAUAGAGAUGAAGACCAUGUUUCCCAAGUGCAUGCCAAAUGUCAACUUGUCAGCAAGAGGUAGACAGUGGAUUCUCUGAAGGUUGCAGUUCUGUGGGAAUGGUCAGUGAUGUCUACGGGGAUUGAAAUUUUAAAUCGGAUAUGACGAUGUACUAAUUACAGGUUUGGUCGACCUCCCAAAGCUGGAUACCAAGGAACACGAUCACCUUAAAUAUAAGAUCAGAGACAAAUAUCAAUCUUGGAAAGAAAGCAAAAUUGGAUCGACCCCUAAUUCAGAGAAUAAAAUUAAAAAUUGGGGUUCUAUCCGUCCGCCAUCCCCCACCACACCCGUCUCUGCCUCUAUUAGACGGUACUUAUAAAUUAUCAACUUUGGAAGGAAACCAAAAACGGUUUCCUGCUCAUCAUCUACCACCGCACCCGCCACUUUUAGACAGUUUUCUUAAUUCUCAUCUACCUUGUGAUUCACACAUCUUUUAAUACAGUACAAUAUUACAGUACAUUAUUACAAUACGAUCAUAAUAAUCUUAUAAUACAGUACAAUAUUACAACAAUUUUAUACAGUUGUUUUUCUCCAUCCGACCUCCCCCGCCGCACCCGCCUCCAGCGUACAGUUUACUUAAUUCUUAAUAAAAGUU